rnacentral:rRNA from 1 species
AUGGCGGUGCACGACGGCGUUAUCUUUGCAAGCUUGAGAGGUUUAUCAAACGUCAUCUUGAAGACGAAGGUCGCCAACCUCUGGACCACUCGCUACGACUCUCGCUCGAUCGUGUCUCCUAUCUUAUUAGAAAUUGGAGAGCUUGCUGCUAGUUUCAAUUCUUUUGUUAUUCGUCAUAUUGUAAGAUCAGCCAAUGGUCCUGCUCACAUAUGUGUUAAGCAUGCUUGCACGAUUGACGUGACUGAAAGCUGGAUCGAUAGUACUCCUGGCUUCUUGAUCAGUAGCCGGUUGACGGAUUGUUUGGCGAACGCUUUUAUUAAAUAA